GAGUUUGAUCAUGGCUCAGAACGACCGUUGGCGGCAGGCCUAACACAUGCAAGUCGAGCGCUACCUUCGGGUGGAGCGGCGGACGGGUUAGUAACGCGUGGGAAUAUACCCAGUUCUAAGGAAUAGCCACUGGAAACGGUGAGUAAUACCUUAUACGCCCUUCGGGGGAAAGAUUUAUCGGAAUUGGAUUAGCCCGCGUUAGAUUAGAUAGUUGGUGGGGUAAUGGCCUACCAAGUCUACGAUCUAUAGCUGGUUUGAGAGGAUGAUCAGCAACACUGGGACUGAGACACGGCCCAGACUCCUACGGGAGGCAGCAGUGGGGAAUCUUGCACAAUGGAGGAAACUCUGAUGCAGCGAUGCCGCGUGAGUGAAGAAGGCCUUUGGGUUGUAAAGCUCUUUCGUCGGGGAAGAAAAUGACUGUACCCGAAUAAGAAGGUCCGGCUAACUUCGUGCCAGCAGCCGCGGUAAUACGAAGGGACCUAGCGUAGUUCGGAAUUACUGGGCUUAAAGAGUUCGUAGGUGGUUGAAAAAGUUGGUGGUGAAAUCCCAGAGCUUAACUCUGGAACUGCCAUCAAAACUUUUCAGCUAGAGUAUGAUAGAGGAAAGCAGAAUUUCUAGUGUAGAGGUGAAAUUCGUAGAUAUUAGAAAGAAUACCAAUUGCGAAGGCAGCUUUCUGGAUCAUUACUGACACUGAGGAACGAAAGCAUGGGUAGCGAAGAGGAUUAGAUACCCUCGUAGUCCAUGCCGUAAACGAUGUGUGUUAGACGUUGGAAAUUUAUUUUCAGUGUCGCAGGGAAACCGAUAAACACACCGCCUGGGGAGUACGACCGCAAGGUUAAAACUCAAAUGAAUUGACGGGGACCCGCACAAGUAGUGGAGCAUGUGGUUUAAUUCGAAGAUACGCGCAGAACCUUACCAACACUUGACAUGUUCGUCGCGACUCUAAGAGAUUAGAGUUUUCGGUUCGGCCGGACGAAACACAGGUGCUGCAUGGCUGUCGUCAGCUCGUGUCGUGAGAUGUUGGGUUAAGUCCCGUAACGAGCGCAACCCUUGUCCUUAGUUGCCAGCACGUAAUGGUGGGAACUCUAAGGAGACUGCCGGUGACAAACCGGAGGAAGGUGGGGACGACGUCAAGUCAUCAUGGCCCUUACGACCUGGGCUACACACGUGCUACAAUGGCCAGUACAGAGGGCUGCAAGCCCGCGAGGGGGAGCUAAUCUCACAAAGCUGGUCGUAGUCCGGAUCGCAGUCUGCAACUCGACUGCGUGAAGUUGGAAUCGCUAGUAAUCGUGAAUCAGAAUGUCACGGUGAAUACGUUCCCGGGCCUUGUACACACCGCCCGUCACACCAUGGGAGUUGGUUCUACCCGACGACGCUGCGCUAACCCUUCGGGGAGGCAGGCGGCCACGGUAGGAUCAGCGACUGGGGUGAAGUCGGAACAAGGUAACC
rnacentral:rRNA from 1 species